GCACCCUUAGCUCAGCUGGAUAGAGCGUUUGGCUUCGAACCAAAAGGUCGCAAGUUCGAAUCUUGCAGGGUGUA
rnacentral:tRNA from 1 species